rnacentral:lncRNA from 1 species
GUUUAGUCAUAGCACUGAGUUGAUCAUGUAAUCUGCAGCCGCUGUUCCUGGGCUGCCACCCCCUCUGCUUGCAAACUGUUUUUUUCUCUUCCUCUUGUUUGCAGAUGCACCGUGACCUGACAUAACCUGUCCUUACAUACAGUUAGUAGCUCUGUACUGUAUCUGUGGAGCAUAUAUGAUCUGUGCUCUGUAGGCUGUGGAUGCUCAGCUGUGUUUACUGUUUGAAACAUGGAGAAUAGAAAGAGCAAGGGUGGUGUGAAGAAGCAAGAAUUAAAAAGAGGAAAGAUCUGGAAGCAAACGCAGCCAAAUGGGACAAAAUCGGCAGCUUUUUCACAAAAACGACCUCCGGUUGGAAACAACUAAUGAGGACGAUGAACCGGUUCUAUCCAUUCACAUCCUAGAGAGGAGACUGUGGUCAAAGCAGUGCGAGUGAAGUGUCAGAUUCAGAGAUCCUCAAGAAGGCCUUCGCUCCCAGAUUAUGCUGCUCCUCUUCUCCUGCUCCAGACUCUCCACUCUACGACUAAAGUUUGAGGCUGUCAUGAAUUCUGUGCAAAUACAACAUUUGCCUGACGGUCAUUCAGAUGCUGAAGUAAGUCCACUUCUCUUCAGGUUUCCUCCAAG